rnacentral:rRNA from 1 species
GAUGAACGCUAGCGGCAGGCCUAAUACAUGCAAGCUGAACGGUAAAUGUUAUAGCAAUAUAAUAUGAGAGUAGCGUAAGGGUGCGUAACACGUAUGCAAUCUACCCGCAACAGGAGGAUAGCUCCCCGAAAGGGGAAUUAAUACUCCAUAAGAUCACGAGAGGGCAUCUGAUUGUGAUUAAACUCCAAGGGGUUGCGGAUGAGCAUGCGUCUGAUUAGUUAGUUGGUGAGGUAACGGCUCACCAAGACGAUGAUCAGUAGGGGAACUGAGAGGUUGAUCCCCCACACUGGCACUGAGAUACGGGCCAGACUCCUACGGGAGGCAGCAGUAGGGAAUAUUGGUCAAUGGGUGAGAGCCUGAACCAGCCAUGCCGCGUGCAGGAAGAAAGCCUUCUGGGUUGUAAACUGCUUUUGCCAGGGGAUAAAAUACCCAUGCGUGGGGAAUUGAAGGCACCUGGUGAAUAAGCCACGGCUAACUACGUGCCAGCCGCCGCAGUAACAC